rnacentral:lncRNA from 1 species
GUUGAAUUCAGCAUAGAAAACUACUGUUUUAAAAUAACUAGCAGCAACAGUUUGCUGACGCAUACAGUCUUUAGAGCCAUCUUUUAAAAAGAGGCGUGGCCAGCAGCUUAUUUGAAAGUUUCAAUCUGCUAAGAUGAACUGGCUGGCCUUUGAAAUAAAUGCCUUUCCUCACAUAUAAAUGCACUUAAAGUGGUGGUUAUGGAAGUCCAAGUCACACACAUACACAGAUGUGAACACUCAAGUAGUGACGUUACAUAAAGAGAAGUUCACAGCUAGAGUUGUCCUCUCAGCUGUGCUUCCCAUGCCCUUUGUAGAGUGGAUCCAACACUGCCUGCUUAUCACUACUUAAAAGUUAACACUUUCGGUGGCACAGGCCUUUAAUCCCAGCACUUGGGAGACAGAGGUGGGCGGAUUUCUGAGUUCGAGGCCAGCCUGUUCUACAAAGUGAGUUCCAGGACAGCCAGGGCUACACAGAGAAACCCUGUCUCGAAAAAACAAAAAAAAACAAAAAACAAAAAACAAACAAACAAAAACCAAAAGUUAACACCAGACUUUGAACAGUUCUUUCAGCAUAACUCUAGUCUUCCUUGUGAUGUAAGAAUUUAAUAUGUAUACAUUUCUUAAAGAAUUUAAAAUAGAAUACUUUUUGAAUUGUUUUUGCCCUCAGGUUUUAGUAAUAGUAUAGUAAUAUUAUGGUCAUAUAUAAAUCUUCAUGUAUUUUCUUUUAAGUGAAAUUUCUACCCAUAAUUUACCAAAAAAUAGAGCACUUCGGUUUAAAUUAUUAUCCCAAACUCCUUACAUGUAAUCUUCAUAACUGUUUUGAACCGUGGGCCCUUUCUUCUUAGUGUUUUAAAAUAUCCUCCUUCCAGGGAAGUAGUCUAGGACAUCAAAAACAUUUUGAACUUUUUAGUGUAAUAGUCUAUGAAACACCAUAAAAUUAAACAGAUAUUGAAAAUAAAUACCCUGUUUUCCUUGUUAAAUACUAUAUCUAGUUCUUGGUCUACCAAGAGUUCCUUAGAGGAAUUAAAAAGAUUAAACUCCAUUCAAAUUGAAUUAAGAAUUUUAAAUGCAAAAUGAAAUGAUUAAAAUCUCUAAGUUGAUCAAAAACCCUGGAAUUGCCUCUGCUACUGAGGUCCUCCCAUGUAAGUAAGAGAGAAGAGGUCUGGGCCUCAAUGACUAAGGACAACAGAUAAGAACCCAGACUCCAUGCCACCAAAUAAAAUCAUAAUUUUAGAUUACAAUGUAAUCAACUACCAAUAGCAAUUUUUUUAAAAGAGUGAAUGUUAUCAUAAUAGUUUGGUUUUCAAAUUAAUUAUUACUCUUAAAAAGGAAAUUCUUAAAGUUUAAUGCACAUCAAUAUCCUAUUUAUUUUUCCAAUUUAAAUAAUAUCUAUGACCUAUAAUGAGUAGAUAAUGGUUACUUCAUUGUGGUUGAUUACUGGUAAUGAAAGAUCAGCAUGUAACAGAGAAAGAAAAGGAAGGAAGGAAGGAAGAAAGGAAGGAAGGGAGGGAGAAAGGAAGGAAGGAAGAAGAAAGAGAGAGAAAGACGGGCAGAAAGAAAGAAAGGAAGGAAGGAAGAAAGGAAGGAAGAAGGAAGAGAGAGAAAGACAGGC